AUUGAACGCUGGCGGCAGGCCUAACACAUGCAAGUCGAGCGGAUGAAGGGAGCUUGCUCCUGGAUUCAGCGGCGGACGGGUGAGUAAUGCCUAGGAAUCUGCCUGGUAGUGGGGGAUAAUGUCCGGAAACGGGCGCUAAUACCGCAUACGUCCUGAGGGAGAAAGUGGGGGAUCUUCGGACCUCACGCUAUCAGAUGAGCCUAGGCCGGAUUAGCUAGUUGGUGGGGUAAAGGCCUACCAAGGCGACGAUCCGUAACUGGUCUGAGAGGAUGAUCAGUCACACUGGAACUGAGACACGGUCCAGACUACUACGGGAGGCAGCAGUGGGGAAUAUUGGACAAUGGGCGAAAGCCUGAUCCAGCCAUGCCGCGUGUGUGAAGAAGGUCUUCGGAUUGUAAAGCACUUUAAGUUGGGAGGAAGGGCAGUAAGUUAAUACCUUGCUGUUUUGACGUUACCAACAGAAUAAGCACCGGCUAACUUCGUG
rnacentral:rRNA from 1 species